UUUUCAUCCACCUGCUUACUACAUGCUCAUUGAGCAGAUGUUUUUUUUUUCCCCGAAGCUAACUGCAGUGAGUAGAGAUGAAAGUUGUUGAGGAGCUGUUGAUCUAGCAUCAGAUCUAGUAGGACUCUGGCUCAGGGAUGUCUUCAGGGUGGUCUGUUGAGAGUCCAGCCAGGUCACUGGACCAUCCUGCCCUCUCUCGUGACCCCAUGAGACCCGAAGUCCCCAUCGACCUGACCCAUUUGGAUCUCUUACGUUUCUGUCGGACUGGAUUGCUGCUCCAUUUCUUAGCCUCCGCUGGCUGUCGGUCACAGUGAGUCGUCUCCGUGGGCAGACUGUGAAUGAAAUGUAAAUGUAUGUAAACACCGUAACGAAGCAGUGAUUCAGAGUCAAUUUGGUUUGAAACCUGUCAUGAAUCAGCUGGGAGGCGCUAGCUUGAAAGCUGUCAUCAAUGUGCAGGAAGGGGUAUGGCAUCUUGCUCAAGGGUUCAUACAUUGAGGUUUGAACCCAGAACCCGUUGGCUGGGAGUCAAACCCAGCUAACGGAAGCUAACGGAAGCUAACAAAAGUUAACGGAAGCUAUAACCUCCCAGAAGCUCACCUAGAAAAAGCUAACAGAAGCUAACAAAAGCUAGCCAACCAGAACCUAACCUUCCAGUAAACACCAGUAGAUACCAGUAGACACCGGAAGCUAACGGAUGCUAAUCAGAAGCUAACAGACGCUAACGGACGCUAACAGUAGCUUACAGAACGUUGUAGGAGGUGAAUCUGAGCCCCCACUGGGUCUCUCCCCGGUCCGUCAGCUGUUACGUAACCCGAGGAGGGGAAGCUGUGCUCUGAGAUUAGCAGGCAGAGCUCCGGCCUGAGGAGCUAAUCUGCUUCAGUCGCAGCAUCCUGCUGUUUGUACAAAUCAACGGCGUGAUUACCUCUGAACGCAGCUCUACCGCCACACACUCGUAUCACCAGACAAACGCUUCCUGGACUGGACUUUCCUCUUUAACGCACGCGAUCACACACACUCACACACACGCAUACACACACACACACACACAGACACAUGGACAAACACAGACCAACACAUUGACACAAUCAGCCUCCAAAUGGACUCUUAUUUUCAAGAGGAAAGUCGCUGAUUUCCUGUGUGAAAAAAAAAAAUGAAAAAGUUUUCCCAGUCAACUUUCAACCCCUGCUACCCUCUGCCAUACCCCACCUCGCAAACACAUCGUCUGUUGGCUUCACCCACACCUCCUCAUCCAUCCCCUUCGCCUGUCCUCUUCCUUCCUCCCGUCCUCCGUCCUUCCCCCCAUCUCUCCCUUCGUGUGCGUUACCACACAGGGAGUGAACCUCCAGUGCCGUCUGCCAAUAAAGCCUUCCUCCAGAAAGGCUUCAGGAAGUCAGGAAACGUAGUGUACAGAGCGACUAGAAGGUGGUGGUGGAUGAGGGGGUCAACACAGGACCUUCAACCAGAAGGCGUGGUGUGUGUGUGUUUAAUUUUCAGUUUUCAUUCACAGUUUGGUUAGGUUUAGACAACCCAACUACUUUGUUAGGUUUAGACCAAACAACUACUCGGUACUUGUUUAGGUUUAGACCACACAACUUCUUGGUGAGGUUUUUAGACAACACAACCACUUGGUUAGGUUUGGUGUUAGCCAGAAAGUCUUUAAGUUUUAGCUUUAGGGUCAGGGUUAGUUUACUGUUAGUGUUAGGGUUAGUUUAGGGUUAGUUUAGUGAUGGGAUUAGGGUUAGUAUUAGUUUAGUGCUGGGGUUAGGGUGUAGUUAAGUGUUAGUUUAGUGUUAGGGUUAGGCAGAAAGUCGAAGGGUUAGUAUUAAUGGAAGUGUUUGGGUUAGUUCUCCCUGUGCAGUGUUGCCUCUGUGUUGGCUGUGGGCUGUUGAAACAGUCGUCAGUAGUAAACGUCAGGGCUCAGAGUGCUGGAUCUCUUCCUAAGUGUAUAUUUAUCCUGCUCUGACAGCCUCCCGAUUACAGCAGACCUCAAGCAGGUCCCAUCAGCGGUGCUCAUGUCGUCGCUGGGCCCAGUAGAUAUCCCACGGGUAAUGCGAACCGCAGACAUGCGUAGUAGCAUGUGAUGGCAUCGAAGCCUGCACACCAGAGCUAUGUUGAGUCGCACAUGACUUGGCCUUACUUGCUUUAUCGCCCACAACACCAACACCACUACGAGCGACAAGCGACGAGUACCGUCCAAUAAUAGCUCGCGGAUCCCACCUCCAGUUAACAAUCAACUGGAGGCCAGCAGGGUUCAGAAAUACUACAGACGAUUCCAUUCAUCUUCUGUUAAUAUCGACCAUAGACAUUGUCCUGAUGUGGCAAUGUCCAAACCAAUUAAGACUUUAACACUAGCUUAUGGAAACCGGGGGUUAAACCAGACCCCGCCAAAGCCCUAACCCGCCUCCAAGCCUGUGAAUCAGUCCAGCAUGUGGAUUGACCCAUCGUCAGCCCUCCAUCUUGACUCCCCUGGUGAUUUAUACGCUAAGGAGGUUUGGGCGUGCAGCAACAGGGCCGUUGCCCUGAGAUGCCCCAUCCCCGCGGCAGAUGUGGAUGACACCAGGGCUAACCCUUGAGCAUAGCUUCGAGAGCAUGGUUGUGCUAGCCUAGCCUCUUCAGCGUAGCUUCUGUAAGCGUCACCUCUUUAGCAUUGCAUCUUUAGCCAUAGGUCUUUAGCACAGCUUUCUAGCAUAGUCUCUGUAGCGUUUCCUCUUUAGCAUACCCUCUGUUAAGAUAAGAUAAGAUAAGAUACAACUUUAUUAAUCCCCUGUAGGAGAAAUAUGUUUGUUGCAGAACAGCCCAUCAGAUAACAUAACGUUUCUCAAGCUGCUAAAGAAGCUCAUAGCUUCUUUAGCAUAGCUUCUUUAGCAUUGAUCUUUUAGCAUAUCAUCUUUAGCAUUCCGUCUUUAGCAUAUUUUCAGAAACAGCUGUCUGAUUUUGCCCUGUUGAGUCUGCUGACGUCACCAUCUGUUGGAAAUCUCAGUCUGGUUUUAACUUGUCUUCACCUUUCCCUCCCUUUUUCCUUGACACACACACACACACACACACACACACACACACACACACACACACACACACACACACACACACACACACACACACACACACACACACACACACACACACACACACACACACACACACACACACACACACACACACACAG